rnacentral:rRNA from 1 species
ACGCUAGCUACAGGCUUAACACAUGCAAGUCGAGGGGAAACGACAUCGAAAGCUUGCUUUUGAUGGGCGUCGACCGGCGCACGGGUGAGUAACGCGUAUCCAACCUGCCCAUCACUUGGGGAUAACCUUGCGAAAGUAAGACUAAUACCCAAUGAUAUCUCUAGAAGACAUCUGAAAGAGAUUAAAGAUUUAUCGGUGAUGGAUGGGGAUGCGUCUGAUUAGCUUGUUGGCGGGGUAACGGCCCACCAAGGCGACGAUCAGUAGGGGUUCUGAGAGGAAGGUCCCCCACAUUGGAACUGAGACACGGUCCAAACUCCUACGGGAGGCAGCAGUGAGGAAUAUUGGUCAAUGGACGAGAGUCUGAACCAGCCAAGUAGCGUGCAGGAUGACGGCCCUAUGGGUUGUAAACUGCUUUUAUAAGGGAAUAAAGUGAGUCUCGUGAGACUUUUUGCAUGUACCUUAUGAAUAAGGACCGGCUAAUUCCGUGCCAGCAGCCGCGGUAAUACGGAAGGUCCGGGCGUUAUCCGGAUUUAUUGGGUUUAAAGGGAGCGUAGGCCGGAGAUUAAGCGUGUUGUGAAAUGUAGAGGCUCAACCUCUGCACUGCAGCGCGAACUGGUCUUCUUGAGUACGCACAACGUGGGCGGAAUUCGUGGUGUAGCGGUGAAAUGCUUAGAUAUCACGAAGAGCUCCGAUUGCGAAGGCAGCUCACGGGAGCGCAACUGACGCUGAAGCUCGAAAGUGCGGGUAUCGAACAGGAUUAGAUACCCUGGUAGUCCGCACGGUAAACGAUGGAUGCCCGCUGUUGGCCUGAAUAGGUCAGCGGCCAAGCGAAAGCAUUAAGCAUCCCACCUGGGGAGUACGCCGGCAACGG